rnacentral:lncRNA from 1 species
GAUUGUCUGAUUAAAGACAAUAUUUGGUUAUGUCAAAACAUAAUAGUCCUCAUGUUGGAAACUAUGACAAUCUCAAGUCAAAGGAUUAAGACAUAACUACUUUGAGAUUCACUUAUGACAAUAACCCAUGUAGUGAUCUCAAUGCGGGUCCAUCCAAUACUUUGUUCUCUAACAAGUAUCUAUGAUUAUUGAAUUAUAU